GGAAUAAUGGCAGAACGGUUAUUGCAGCAGUCUUGAAAACUGUCGUCUUUCGGGGCAUGUGGGUUCGAAUCCUACUUAUUCCG
rnacentral:tRNA from 1 species